AGCUUGCUCUUAUGGGUGGCGAGUGGCGGACGGGUGAGGAAUACAUCGGAAUCUACCUUUUCGUGGGGGAUAACGUAGGGAAACUUACGCUAAUACCGCAUACGACCUUCGGGUGAAAGCAGGGGACCUUCGGGCCUUGCGCGGAUAGAUGAGCCGAUGUCGGAUUAGCUAGUUGGCGGGGUAAAGGCCCACCAAGGCGACGAUCCGUAGCUGGUCUGAGAGGAUGAUCAGCCACACUGGAACUGAGACACGGUCCAGACUCCUACGGGAGGCAGCAGUGGGGAAUAUUGGACAAUGGGCGCAAGCCUGAUCCAGCCAUACCGCGUGGGUGAAGAAGGCCUUCGGGUUGUAAAGCCCUUUUGUUGGGAAAGAAAAGCAGUCGAUUAAUACUCGGUUGUUCUGACGGUACCCAAAGAAUAAGCACCGGCUAACUUCGUGCCAGCAGCCGCGGUAAUACGAAGGGUGCAAGCGUUACUCGGAAUUACUGGGCGUAAAGCGUGCGUAGGUGGUUGUUUAAGUCUGUUGUGAAAGCCCUGGGCUCAACCUGGGAAUUGCAGUGGAUACUGGGCAACUAGAGUGUGGUAGAGGGUAGUGGAAUUCCCGGUGUAGCAGUGAAAUGCGUAGAGAUCGGGAGGAACAUCCAUGGCGAAGGCAGCUACCUGGACCAACACUGACACUGA
rnacentral:rRNA from 1 species